rnacentral:rRNA from 1 species
UACGUAGGGUGCGAGCGUUAAUCGGAAUUACUGGGCGUAAAGCGUGCGCAGGCGGUAAGUUAAGUCUGAUGUGAAAGCCCCGGGCUCAACCUGGGAAUGGCAUUGGAAACUGGCUUGCUGGAGUGUGGCAGAGGGGGGUGGAAUUCCACGUGUAGCAGUGAAAUGCGUAGAGAUGUGGAGGAACACCGAUGGCGAAGGCAGCCCCCUGGGUCAACACUGACGCUCAUGCACGAAAGCGUGGGGAGCAAACAGG